UACGUAGGGUGCAAGCGUUGUCCGGAAUUAUUGGGCGUAAAGAGCUCGUAGGCGGUCUGUCGCGUCUGCUGUGAAAACUCAGGGCUUAACCCUGAGCUUGCAGUGGGUACGGGCAGACUAGAGUGCGGUAGGGGAGACUGGAAUUCCUGGUGUAGCGGUGAAAUGCGCAGAUAUCGGGAGGAACACCAGUGGCGAAGGCGGUUACCUGGAGCUUUGCUGACGCUGAUGCGCGAAAGCGUGGGGAGCGAUCCGG
rnacentral:rRNA from 1 species